rnacentral:rRNA from 1 species
CUACGGGGGGCACCAGGCGAGAAAACUUUGCAAUGUGCGAAAGCACGACAAGGUUAAUCCGAGUGGUUUGUGCUAAACGAACCUUUUGACAGUCCUAGAAACACUGUUGAAUAAGGGGUGGGCAAGUUCUGGUGUCAGCCGCCGCGGUAAAACCAGCACCUCAAGUGGUCAGGAUGAUUAUUGGGCCUAAAGCAUCCGUAGCCGGCUCUGUAAGUUUUCGGUUAAAUCUGUACGCUCAACGUACAGGCUGCCGGGAAUACUGCAGAGCCAGGGAGUGGGAGAGGUAGACGGUACUCGGUAGGAAGGGGUAAAAUCCUUUGAUCUAUUGAUGACCACCUGUGGCGAAGGCGGUCUACCAGAACACGUCCGACGGUGAGGGAUGAAAGCUGGGGGAGCAAACCGGAUUAGAUACCCCUGUAGUC